rnacentral:lncRNA from 1 species
CUUAAGCCUGGGAGCCCGAGGCUACAGUGAGCUGUGUGCAGCAUUGCACUUCAGCCUGGGUGACACAGCAGGACCCUGACUCAGAAAAAAGAAAAAAAAUUAUAUAUGUAUAUAUAUUCUGAAUUUGUUGGUGGUCUAGACCUCCUGCUCUUUAGCCACUUGUUGGACAGUGGCCCGGAGCCCCAGGCCUGAUAGAUCCCAGCCCUCCAAGCCCCUUGGCCAAAGAAACCCUUCCCUGCUGGGUGAAGCAGUGUGGCUGGCCCAGGCAGCAGCCCCUGGAGCCUGGUUGGUUCAGGGAGUGACUGAGGUGCCUGCCAAGGGGCCAGUGUGUGCUGGAGCCUGGUGACCCGGUGAGAGACAAAUGACUGCAUCAGAACUCCUGCUUCUGCGAGGGAGGUAGUGCCCGAGGGGACUCAGAAUCAGACAGAUCAGGGGUUCAAUCCCAGCUCUGCCUCCUCCUAGCAGCCUGAGUACGGGUGAGAUCGGGGAGCAGGGACGGGCUGGAAGGGAGAAAACAAACAGAUGCAUUCACGUGACCUCAUUUCACCUUCACCGCAGCCCUGCCAGGCAAAUUUCUGUUCCCCCCAACCGCCCCGCCGUUUUGCAGAGGUGAAAACAACAGCUCAGAGAGAUCAAGUGCCUUGUCUGACACCACACAGCUACUAAGUGGGGAGCUGGGAUUCCCCAUGCCCCAGGAUUCCCAAACGGAUGCCACCUACUCCACCUCCAGGGCUGUCUGCCACAUCUGCGUCCUCCUAGGCUGUGGCUUCCUUAAUAUGUUCUUUAAAUUGACUUACUGCCUUUUUUAUUUAAAUGCAUUUCUUUUAAAAUGAGACUUUAUAUUACUCCUAUAAAUGGAAAAUCACAGGAUUCAUGGACUAGUUAUGUAUAUUUUUAUAAUGCACAUUAAAA